AUUGAACGCUGGCGGCAGGCCUAACACAUGCAAGUCGAACGGUAACAGGAAGCUUCUUCCUGCUUCCCUCGCCGGUGGCGGGCGUGUUGCUUAUGUCUCUGCCACUUCCUGAUGGAUAGCGUUCACUACUGGACACUGUUACUACUUCCGCAUAACGUCGCAAGGCCAGAGAUGUUCGCCUUUCGGCCUCUUGCCUUCGCCUAGGUCGGAUUAGCUAGUUGGUGGGGUAAAGGCAUACCCAGGCGACGAUCCGUAUCUGGUCUGAGAGGAUGAUCAGUCACACUGGAACUGAGACACGGUCCAGACUCCUACGGGAGGCAGCAGUGGGGAAUAUUGGACAAUGGGCGAAAGCCUGAUGCAGCCAUGCCGCGUGUGUGAAGAAGGCCUUCGGGUUGUAAAGUACUUUAAGCGGGGAGGAAGGGAAUAAAGUUAAUACCUUGGUGCAUUGACGUUACCAGCAGAAGAAGCACCGGCUAACUCCGUG
rnacentral:rRNA from 1 species